GCACCGAUAGCUCAGCUGGAUAGAGUACUUGGCUACGAACCAAGAGGUCAGAGGUUCGAAUCCUCUUCGGUGCG
rnacentral:tRNA from 1 species